CCGCAGCAUGCUGAUCCGCGAUUACUAGCGAUUCCAGCUUCAUGAAGUCGGGUUGCAGACUUCAAUCCGAACUGAGACGUACUUUGUGAGAUUUGCUCCACAUCACUGUCUUGCUUCUCGUCGUAUACGCCAUUGUAGUACGUGUGUAGCCCAGGUCAUAAGGGGCAUGAUGAUUUGACGUCAUCCCCACCUUCCUCCGGUUUAUCACCGGCAGUCUCUCUAGAGUCCUCAACUUAAUGUUAGUAACUAAAGACAAGGGUUGCGCUCGUUGCGGGACUUAACCCAACAUCUCACGACACGAGCUGACGACAACCAUGCACCACCUGUAUCCUUCAUCCUCCUCUAUAUCUCUAUAGACUUGUCCAGUAUGUCAAGACCUGGUAAGGUUCUUCGCGUUGCUUCGAAUUAAACCACAUACUCCACCGCUUGUGCGGGCCCCCGUCAAUUCCUUUGAGUUUCACACUUGCGUGCAUACUCCCCAGGCGGGAUACUUAUUGCGUUAACUGCAGCACUGAGUUUCCCCAACACUUAGUAUCCAUCGUUUACGGCGUGGACUACUAGGGUAUCUAAUCCUAUUUGCUCCCCACGCUUUCGUGCCUCAGCGUCAGUUACAGGCCAGUUAGCCGCCUUCGCCACUGGUGUUCCUCCAUAUAUCUACGCAUUUU
rnacentral:rRNA from 1 species